AGCAUGUAUAUAUUUAAGGUAUAUUUUCUUAAUUUUACUAACUUUGGAAAAUUUAAUUUAUAAUACAAUACAAUAAUACUUUAUAUUUGAAGAAUCCUAAAGUAGGAGGCAAAGUUGUUUGUCAUCAGGAUGCUACCUAUUUAUAUACUGACCCAGUUAAAUUAUUAGGUCUUUGGUUUCCAUUAGAAGAUACUACUUUAGAAAAUGGAUGCCUUUGGUUCCUACCUGGAUCUCAUAAAGGUGAAGUGUAUCAAAU